rnacentral:rRNA from 1 species
GGCAACGAUACAUAGGGGGACUGAGAGGUUAACCCCCCACACUGGUACUGAGACACGGACCAGACUCCUACGGGAGGCAGCAGUGAGGAAUAUUGGUCAAUGGACGCAAGUCUGAACCAGCCAUGCCGCGUGCAGGAGGACGGCUCUAUGAGUUGUAAACUGCUUUUGUACGAGGGUAAACUCACCUACGUGUAGGUGACUGAAAGUAUCGUACGAAUAAGGAUCGGCUAACUCCGUGCCAGCAGCCGCGGUAAUACGGAGGAUUCAAGCGUUAUCCGGAUUUAUUGGGUUUAAAGGGUGCGUAGGCGGUUUGAUAAGUUAGAGGUGAAAUCCCGGGGCUUAACUCCGGAACUGCCUCUAAUACUGUUAGACUAGAGAGUAGUUGCGGUAGGCGGAAUGUAUGGUGUAGCGGUGAAAUGCUUAGAGAUCAUACAGAACACCGA